AUACGUAGGUGACAAGCGUUAUCCGGAUUUACUGGGCGUAAAGGGCGUGUAGGCGGUCUUGCAAGUCCGAAGUGAAAUUCCUGAGCUCAACUCGGGCCCUGCUUCUGAAACUGAAGGACUUGAGUGCUGGAGGGGAUAGCGGCAUCCCUAGUGGAGCGGUAAAAUGCGCAGAUAUUAGGAAGAACACCGGUGGCGAAGGCGGCUAUCUGGGCAGUAUCUGCCGCUGAGGCGCGAAAGCGUGGGGAGCAAACAGGAUUAGAUCCCCUGGUGGUCCACGCCGUAAACGAUGAAUACUAGGUGUAGGGGGUAUCGACUCCCUCUGUGCCGCAGUUAACACAAUAAGUAUUCCGCCUGGGGAGUACGGCCGCAAGGUUGAAACUCAAAUGAAUUGACGGGG
rnacentral:rRNA from 1 species